rnacentral:rRNA from 1 species
GGUGAACGCUGGCGGCAGGCCUAACACAUGCAAGUCGAACGGCAGCGGGUAGGAAGCUUGCUUCCUAUGCCGGCGAGUGGCGGACGGGUGAGGAAUACAUCGGAAUCUGCCCCGUCGUGGGGGAUAACGUAGGGAAACUUACGAUAAUACCGCAUACAACCUGAGGGUGAAAGCGGGGGAACGCAAGGCCUCGCGCGAUGGGACGAGCCGAUGUCCGAUUAGCUAGUUGGUGGGGUAAAGGCUCACCAAGGCGACGAUCGGUAGCUGGUCUGAGAGGAUGAUCAGCCACACUGGGACUGAGACACGGCCCAGACUCCUACGGGAGGCAGCAGUGGGGAAUAUUGGACAAUGGGCGCAAGCCUGAUCCAGCCAUGCCGCGUGGGUGAAGAAGGCCUUCGGGUUGUAAAGCCCUUUUGUCCGGGAAGAAAGCGCCCUGGUGAAUAGCCGGGGUGGAUGACGGUACCGGAAGAAUAAGCACCGGCUAACUUCGUGCCAGCCGCCGCAGUAA